rnacentral:rRNA from 1 species
GUGGGGAAUAUUGGACAAUGGGCGCAAGCCUGAUCCAGCAAUGCCGCGUGAGUGAUGAAGGCCUUCGGGUUGUAAAGCUCUUUCACCGAUGACGAUAAUGACGGUAGUCGGAGAAGAAGCCCCGGCUAACUCCGUGCCAGCAGCCGCGGUAAUACGGAGGGGGCUAGCGUUGUUCGGAAUCACUGGGCGUAAAGCGUACGUAGGCGGAUUGCCAAGUUGGAGGUGAAAGCCCAGGGCUUAACCCUGGAACUGCCUUCAAAACUGGCGAUCUAGAGGAUGGUAGAGGUGAGUGGAAUUCCGAGUGUAGAGGUGAAAUUCGUAGAUAUUCGGAAGAACACCAGUGGCGAAGGCGGCUCACUGGACCAUUACUGACGCUGAGGUACGAAAGCGUGGGGAGCAAACAGGAUUAGAAACCCCAGUAGUCC